CUUUCAAAUGAUAACUCUAAGACAGAAAAGGAAUCGCACACCUACUCAUCUCCUUAACGCGUGGAAAGCACCCAGCAGUUCCGAAUCUUGAUGUCUGAGAUGAAGAUGGUGUGGGAGGCAAGCCGGUUAGUUAGAAAGGUUUUGUCAACCCAAACAGAAAGGCCGGGUUUGGUUUCGGGCCCUGCUACUUACCAAGAGUGUGAUCUGCAGUGUGUUGCUUGACCUUUCUGAGCAUGGUUCCGAAUUUGUUAACUAGGGUUGGAAGGACUAAUCCCGGGAUGAGAAUGAAAUCAGGUUAAUGCAUGCAAAGUGCUUGCCCGACACAGGUGGGUAGCACUUAAAAUGUUAAUUUCCUUCCUUUUUCCCCUCUCAAGUGUAACUCAUUAUUUGGGGAAAAAGGUGAAUCAGAUUUAGUCAGAACUGGAAGAGAUAUGAAAGGGAGAUGAUUUGUUUAACCAUGUGUCUCUUUUCACUUGAGAAACCAGAUCCCCAGUGAGUUGGCUGCCACUGAUGAGGAUUAUUCAGUGAGCCAGGGGCGGUGCCAGGAUCUGAAACCAGAGCUACAGGCAAUGCCCAAAGAAGUCGGCUUUUCGAGUUAUAAGACACAAUCCCAAGUGGAAAUUGAUAAUAAGAACUAAAUAGUUAUUUUUAAACACAAAUUAUAGACUAACAUGAAUGGGCAAUACUAGUAUUUAUCAAGUUCUAACUGCAUGCUAGAUGUUACCCUAUAGGCUUUAUAUAUAUUAAUUUAUUUCUCCUGACAUCUUAAUAAAGAAGGUACUCUUACCAUCCCCUUUUAUAGAUAAGGAAAUUAACUUUUGCAAGCCUGAAAAUUUAGCCAGUGGGGAAACUCAUAUUUGCACUCAAGUAUUUUGGCUCCAGACCUGGUCUCAAUCACUGCAUUGUCCCUCUCCCCUUGCACUUACAGUGUGUCAUACCAGUGUCCCCAAAGGUUCGGUCUGCGUUUUACUGUAGGCGGUAAUUAGAAAAAAACAAAACAAAUGGAACAGGAGUUUGGAAUAGUAGCGUUUUACCCUCUAGAAUCCAGGAAAGUCAUCGAGGGGUGUGUCAGCUAAUUGAGUGUUUCUCAGCUCCUAAUUCUUCUUUGCCCUAAGUUGUGAUUUUAGAGUUAGAACCUAUGAACAUUUCUUUGAUGUUAUUUGAUAUGGUGUUAGGACUUGUCAGUAGAAGGUGCCAGAAGGACCCUAUAUAAAAAGGGGACUUCUUGGUUCCAGUGCUUUUCUUCUUGCUUCUAUGGUGUAGUGGUGGGUGGCUUUCUGGCCAGUGAUGGGCAAGAAACCAGUGUUUUAUUCCCUCCAGUAAGUUUGGUGAGUUCUCUAGUGUGUGGCUUCCCAGUAAGCCUUGCUGGAGUUUUAGGGGUAGUUUCCUAGCACAUUUCACUGGCACCCCAGCUGGUGGUUUCCUCACCAGCCCAGUCUGUGACACCUCAACCAAUUUUUUGGCCAUCAAGUGGCCCACAGGCACAUUAUUCCCAAUGAGGACAUGGGUGGGGAUUGGGGAAUUCUUUUGAAUUAUCCCACACCCCUGGAGGCACCCGGGACUCUGGCUUCCCUGGUAGCCCCGGUCUCCUCCGGAAGAUUGUCCAGAAGGACCUCCAAUCUAAUUAGCAUAUGGCUCUUUUUUUAUUAUAGAUUUCUCCUCAUUUCUGUCUCCUGACUGGCCCUUGACUGAUACAAGGCUAAAGAGACCAUGUAGAUCAUGUAGAACACUGAGUAGAAUUUUGUCCCUGGAUUCAGAAGUUGACAUCCUGUCUUUAGCUGUGCAAACUUGACUAAGUCACUUAAACUCCCAGAGCUUGUCCCCUCAUUUGUAAAAAAAAAUGUAUGACAAGGUUUUGUGAGCACCAUGUAAAAUUUGAAUGCACUUUAAUUACAUUUAAAUGUGAGUGCACUUUAAACCUGAAAAGUGCUAUCACAAGUAAAGGUGUUAAUUAUCAGUAUAGGAGCAGGGUAGCAAAGAAGAAGAUUUUCUUUAAGAAAAAAAUUGCAUGCAUUCUGGGUACUUAGUUUGUUUCCUGGGGGUAAAAGCAUUUUGUCUAUGAUUUAUUCUCAUCAAGUAAAUAUAUUAUUGGUUGGCUGGUUGGUUAGUUGACUUUGCCUAGCUUUUCAAAGAUAAAAAUAAUUUCUAGUCUCAAGUAGCUCAAGUUUCCAGCUCUAUGAAAAAUACAACUACAAUUACAAACAUUUUGAAAUGCUAGAUUCAGACUAAUUUGGUUACUUUCUAGUCUGGUAUCCUUCAUAUUUGCUUUAUUUUUAUUUUGUCUCCUGUACCCUUUCUGGGUAUAAUGUCUGUGUCAAGAAAGAAUUAUUUCAUUGCUGAGCACUCCAUGUGUAAAGCAUGGCACUAGGUAUUGCAUGCUAUUCCAAACGAAAAAUAGUUUAGGAGUCUUAAAUGCUCAAGAAAGAAAAGCAUGUGUGCAUUCAGUCUUUAGAAGGGUUCUCUGAGGUAAAUGCUUGUGGGAGAUUCUACCCCAUCCCCGUGGAUCCCUCCUAUUGGGUCUGGGUGCCCUUCCCCCAGCUUCUGUGUUCUUUUAUUUCUCACAGCCAUCCCCUGCCACUCUCUUUGGAAGAUUGCCCAAAAGCUCCUGCAUUCACUUUGCCUUCAGGCACAGACAGCCAGAGAGAACCAUCUGGGAGUUAACUUCCCUCCCAGCGCACCUUUCCCAAGGACUGCCCUACAGAGCAUAAAAGCCCAGCCCAUUGCCUCGAAUAACCAAGAAACAGAGGUUCAGGUGUUUUAAACUGCCCAAAGUUACUCUCCCAAUGAAAGGCAGGAGUUUUGAUCUGAUCCAGUAUUGGUCGUAGUAUUGAGAGAUAAUAUCUUGUCCAACGUCUGUGCAACUCAGGAACUUACUCAAACAGCAGCAGUCAGUCACCUAGCCCUGUGCAAACAAUCUGAGGAAAGGGCUGCCUAAAGGCAGUCGGACCCCAACAGAGAGAGUCUGUGAAGAUAUGGACUCCUGAGACCCAAAUCCCAGUGAAGUGCAGGAGAGAGAUGCCUACCAAUGAGUGGGGAGCCUCUAGCACAACGGAAAAGGGAGAUGCAUCUUGCCUCUGUGAUUCAGCAAGCAUGAAGAUAAAACUUCACUGUGAUCAUGAUGGAGCCAAAGGACAGACAGGACCUAGACUCCCUUCCUUCACACUUCUUCUUACGUGAGGAAAAUCAAAUGCUGUUGGGAGUUUAAGCGACAGAGAUGGGCUUCUACUUCAUGUAACUAAGUAUGUCACAAUUCACACAAUAUGAAUAAAAUUGAUAAAAGUAUUCAUGUUCAAGGCUUAAUCUGAGAGACUCAUGAUACCUAACACAAUCAAAUCUCCAAAAAAUUAUAGUUCUUUAAUUCAUUGUGGUUUUGAAUUGAUCUUUCACAGUCUUUUAGUUACCAAACUAUUAAAUACAUUUCAACUUUCAAAUCUGCA